AAGCGAAAAUGUUGGAAGGUGGUCCUCUGCGUGACACUUCAUGAGGUCAUUUAUGUAGCUGGAGGCCUUCAUUGUAAUUCCAUAAUGUAAAACCCUUUUCAACAAUUGUUUUGAAUAUUUUGAAUUUGAAAACCAGUAGUCUCUAAUGAGCAAUGGCCAAAGCAAUUACUAAUGGGGAAAUUUUAAGCUUCUAGCUUGUAUGCAAGAUUAGGAUUAUUAAUAAAGCUAUGUUACUGUUUGUUAAAACUUACUAUUUUGAGCAAUUCUGAUAAUCUUACUAUUUGUUAGAGAUUGUAGGAUGCAAGAUAAUUUCAGAUACACAGCAGCAAUGUUUUCUCCAGAAAUUUCUGCUUUCAUUUGAGCCGGUUGGGAAAGGCAAAAAAUUGUUCAACUGAGUAGAAAUAAUGUCUUUGAUGCUGUCAACGUUAUCCCAAGUGGCAGACAAAGGGAUUAAGCUUGCCAAAUUUCGAGUUCAAGCAAUAAGAGAGAACUGAAAUAGAGAUAAGUUCACAUCACCAACUUGAGCUUUGAGCCUCCAGUUGUCCUCACAUUGACAACAUUUUUCAGCUAAAACUGACUAGAGGACCAAGUAAUCUCACAUUUUGGGAUCAUUGGAAGAUGCAAUGUGAGCAGACAGAAGUAAUGAUAGCUCUCCUCUCUGCUCAAUUCUGCUUCCUGCAAACUCUUUGCUAUACCUUAGGUUGUUUUUGUCCAUAUAUUGAGGCAAACAAAUAUAGUUGCUGAUUCUUUAGCCAAACAGGGUCAAUCUAGUCAGUCUGAUUUUGUGGCCUUCUUUUAGAAUUGUUUUGGCUUCAGACUUUUUCUUGUUCUACUAUUUUUUCAGUUUGUUUGGUUGGCUCCUCUUUUGCUUUGGUCUCUUGAUGUUCUCUACUUUGGCCUUUUUGGAGUGAGGUGCUUGCUGUUUUACGCCGGGUUUUUUGGGGAAUGCCUGUUGGCAUGGGUUAGGUGGUAGCUCUCCUCACCUCCUGUAUCUUUCUUUUCUUCAAUAAAUUUUCUUGCUUAUAUAUAUAAAAACUAGUGUCAACUGUUGCUUGUACAA